rnacentral:rRNA from 1 species
UGCGGAAUUUUGGGCAAUGGGCGAAAGCCUGACCCAGCAACGCCGCGUGAAGGAUGAAGUAUUUCGGUAUGUAAACUUCGAAAGAAUAGGAAGAAUAAAUGACGGUACUAUUUAUAAGGUCCGGCUAACUACGUGCCAGCAGCCGCGGUAAUACGUAGGGACCAAGCGUUGUUCGGAUUUACUGGGCGUAAAGGGCGCGUAGGCGGCAAUUCAAGUCAUCUGUGAAAUCUCCGGGCUUAACUCGGAACGGUCAGAUGAUACUGCUUUGCUAGAGUGCAGAAGGGGCAAUCGGAAUUCUUGGUGUAGCGGUGAAAUGCGUAGAUAUCAAGAGGAACACCUGAGGUGAAGACGGGUUGCUGGGCUGACACUGACGCUGAGGCGCGAAAGCCAGGGGAGCAAACGGGAUUAGAUACCCCGGUAGUCCCUGAGCGGGCUGGCAAGGCGCAU